CCUGGGAGAUGUAGUUCUCGCCCUUCCACUUCCCCUUCCGCGAGGCCGCUGCAGGCUGAGCCGGGACCGCGACUCCCAGAGGCCUCCGGGCCCGGAGGCCACGCCCCUUCCGGCGAGCGUCCCGAGCCAGGUACCGGCCAGGAUCCUCGCACCGUCGGAGCCAGGUUGGGUGCCCCGUCUACACCUCCAGAGGUCCCUGAAGGUACGGUGUUGGGAGUGCAGGAGCACGAAGGAAACCCGAGAAGGAAGUGGAGGGCCCUGGCAGCCCGCAUGGACCCGCACAGGCCACUCAGGCAAGGCUCGAACCACAGAUGGAUCCAAGGCUUGACAACACCCCUCCUGCUGUCCGUGGGAUGCGACGGGCAGGGCAGGAGCUUGGCCAGGGAGGGAAGCGGCCCCCAGCAGCGGGCCGCCCGGGCUUCCAUAUUUUCACCUGGCCACUUUUCCGUGUCACCCUGCACAGCGGCCCCGGGGAGCUGGCCACCUUCGGCCAUUCUUCCUUCCAUAGUCUGUGCGAGCAAUAAACGGAAUCUAGAAAGGGCUCGCGACUUCCUUAGUAGCACCUCUGUCAGCCUGUGCUGGACAGAAUGGAAGGAAAAUGAGGCAAAAGGGGGUUGGGGGGGAGGGCAGGGCCCACCCGAUUUGGGGAGCGAACCACAGAUCUCCCCUUGCCCGGGGCCAAAUUCUCUUUUCUGCCCCUUGUCUCCUCCAAGGCUUGAUCGAGCCCCUGGAGGUUUGCCCGCUUCUCCUUCAGGAUGUUGUAUCCAGAUCUGCCCCAGUCAUUCCACCCGGAGAAACUCCGGUUGGAAGGAGCUCUCAGAUGGACCAGCAAAUUCUAGAGGACUGGAGCUGCCCCAACACUGUAUUAUGGAAAUUUGCAGCGGUACCGUUGACAUCUUCCUCGACUCUUAUCACAUCUGGGCAGCCAUCCGUUAAUCCAGUUUUAUUCUUGAUGCCUUCAGAGUAAAUUCCCCUCCAACAUUAACUAGCAUCCGUUAUUCACAGUCUUUUCCUUUGGAUCCAAAACUUACAAUGAAGUGCCCUGCUUGUAAGGGAACAUCUGCUGAGUUUUGACAAAUCUGUACAGUUUUGUAACUCAGACCCUACUGAGAUACCAGUAAGAAAGUUCUCUCCUGCUCCUCAGACAGUCCCCACUCCCACCCAGAGGCAACCAGUCAGUACCCUGCCUAGCAAUACUGGAGCACAAAGCAAAAGGAAAAAUCAAAUUUGUGCUUAAUUUCUUUGCAGAAUAAAGUAGGUGAAAAACCGUUGAAAAAUUUUAAAGUAGGCAUAUUAAAAUUAAAAAUAUUUUAAAGUUUAAAUAUUUUAUUUAUAUAAAACCAAUUGAUGAUUUUACUUAACCAGGUUUAAUGGAAACAAACAAUAAUAUUUCCAAAGUUUACUACUUAUUUUCAGUUGGAGAGAAUUGCCGGAUUAAUUUCCUUUUUUUUUUUUUUUUUUUUUUUUUUUUAAUG